rnacentral:rRNA from 1 species
GAUGAACGCUGGCGGCGUGCCUAAUACAUGCAAGUCGAGCGAACAGACGAGGAGCUUGCUCCUCUGACGUUAGCGGCGGACGGGUGAGUAACACGUGGAUAACCUACCUAUAAGACUGGGAUAACUUCGGGAAACCGGAGCUAAUACCGUAUAAUAUAUUGAACCGCAUGGUUCAAUAGUGAAAGACGGUUUUGCUGGCACUUAUAGAUGGAUCCGCGCCGCAUUAGCUAGUUGGUAAGGUAACGGGUUACCAAGGCAACGAUGCGUAGCCGACCUGAGAGGGUGGUAGGCCACACGGGAACGGAGACACGGUCCAGACUCCUACGGGAGGGCGCAGUAGGGAAUCGUCCGCAAUGGGCGAGAGCAUGACGGAGCGACGCCGAGUGAGUGAUGAAGGUCUUCGGAUCGUAAAACUCUGUUAUUAGGGAAGAACAAAUGUGUAAGUAACUAUGCACGUAUUGACGGUACCUAGUCAGAAAGCCCCGGCUAACUACGUG